UUUGGAGGUAUAGCUCAGUGGUAAAGUGUAUGCUUUGCAUGCUUGAGGACCUAGAUUCAAUCCUCAGCUCCAAAA
rnacentral:tRNA from 1 species